GACGAACGCUGGCGGCGUGCUUAACACAUGCAGGUCGAACGAUGAAGCCUUCGGGUGGAUUAGUGGCGAACGGGUGAGUAACACGUGGGUGAUCUGCCCUGCACUUUGGGAUAAGCCUGGGAAACUGGGUCUAAUACCGAAUAUGAUCAUGCUCUUCAUGGGGUGUGGUGGAAAGCUUUUGCGGUGUGGGAUGGGCCCGCGGCCUAUCAGCUUGUUGGUGGGGUAAUGGCCUACCAAGGCGACGACGGGUAGCCGGCCUGAGAGGGUGACCGGGCACACUGGGACUGAGAGAGGGCGCAGACUCCUACUGGAGGCAGCAGUGGGGAAGAUUGCACAAUGGGCGCAAGCCUGAUGCAGCGACGCCGCGUGAGGGAUGACGGCCUUCGGGUUGUAAACCUCUUUCAGCAGGGACGAAGCGCAAGUGACGGUACCUGCAGAAGAAGGACCGGCCAACUACGUGCCAGCCGCCGCAGUAA
rnacentral:rRNA from 1 species